GGGGCCGAUCAGGAUUCGACGACGGUUACAAAGCUUGAGGGGCAUGCCGAGUUGGUAACAGAACUCGUAAAUCCACUGUUGCAAACUAAUAGUUGCCAACGACGACAACUACGCCCUAGCAGCCUAAGCGCCGCUAGCAGCCUCUAGGGGAUGCCUGUAAACCCGAAGAUCUGGCUGUCAUAUAGAACAGGAUCGCCGCCAAGUUUGCUGUAGACGUAACGGCUAAAACUUAUACAGCUCGCUCCAAGCACCCUGCCACUCGGGCGGCGCGGAGUUAACUAAGUAGAGAUGGCUAAGCAUGUAGAACCGAUAGUGGCGGACUGGCGGACGGGGGUUCAAAUCCCCCCGGCUCCACCA
rnacentral:tmRNA from 1 species